rnacentral:piRNA from 1 species
AAGCAGUAUGCACAGAGGGCAUUGAAG